UAGGGAAUCUUCCACAAUGGACGCAAGUCUGAUGGAGCAACGCCGCGUGAGUGAAGAAGGUUUUCGGAUCGUAAAGCUCUGUUGUUGGUGAAGAAGGAUAGAGGCAGUAACUGGUCUUUAUAUGAUGGUAAUAAAACAGAAAGUCACGGCUAACUUCGUGCCAGCAGCCGCGGUAAUACGUAGGUGGCAAGCGUUGUCCGGAUUUAUUGGGCGUAAAGCGAGCGCAGGCGGAAUGAUAAGUCUGAUGUGAACAACCACGGCUCAACAGUGUGAGUGCAGCGGGUAAUGUCAUUCUGGAGGGCGGAAGAGGAGAGUGGAAUUCCCUGUGUAGCGGUGGAAUGCGUAGAUAUAUGGAGGAGGACCAGUGGCGAAGACGGCUCUCUGGUCUGCAACUGACGCUGAGGAUCGAAAGCAUGGGUAGCGAACAGG
rnacentral:rRNA from 1 species